UACGUAGGGGCCUAGCGUUGUCCGGAUUUAUUGGGCGUAAAGAGCUCGUAGGCGGUUCGGUAAGUCAGGUGUGAAAUCUCCACGCUCAACGUGGAGGCGCCACCUGAAACUGCCGUGACUCGAGUCCGGUAGGGGAGUGUGGAAUUCCCGGUGUGAGCGGUGAAAUGCGCAGAGUAUCGGGAGGAACACCCGUAGCGAAGGCGGGUCUCUGGGCCGUAACUGACGCUGAGGAGCGAAAGCGUGGGAGGCGACGACG
rnacentral:rRNA from 1 species